rnacentral:lncRNA from 10 species
CAAGAAUGUGCUGUGUUCCAGGGCAGUUAGCAAUUUCUCUGAUGGUUAAUGAUCCUCCCUAUCAACCCUGGUGGAAGACAGUUAGUUAUUCACUGCAACCAAGUGCAGAUCAUUUCCACUUACUUUACCAUCUAACUGUGAAGAUUAUUAAGGAAAAGGACUUUUUCUUCUUCUCUCUUCUAACAUGUUAAACUAAGAACCUUCCCACUGUGAACUACUGGCAUCUUACUUUUUGACCCCUUGACAAGAAGAACUGGAGUUACCAAAAUGCUGUCAUUUAAGGUGUUGGAGUGGAAACCAGAACAUUACCUAUUAUCAAGAAGGGGUUUCUUCUAAGGCAUUCAGGGCACUCAGAAACAUACAUCUAAGGAAAGAUUCACUUAAAAACCAGCCAAGACACAGUCAUAUAAUUGGGAUCUCCAGGGCCCUGAGUAAAGACAGUCUCCUCCCACUUCAUCGUCGGUAAAUCAAACUCUCCACAGAUGGGGGGAGCCAAGAUUGCUGACUAGACUCAGCCAGGAAGAGCAUCUCCCACUGAGACAUCAGACCAUCAAGAAUACCGGCACACUCCAAGUAGAUCUUUGCAAGAAAGGC